AAACCUACCUCUUAGCAGGGGAUAACAUUUGGAAACAAUGCUAAUACCGUAUAAUAAUUAAAACCGCAUGGUUUUAGUUAAAGAUGGUCUUGCUAUCACUAAGAGAUGGUCCCGCGGUGUAUUAGUUAGUUGGUGAGGUAAUGGCUCACCAAGACAAUGAUACAUAGCCGAGUUGAGAGACUGACCGGCCACAAUGGGACUGAGACACGGCCCAUACUCCUACGGGAGGCAGCAGUAGGGGAUCUUCCACAAUGGACGAAAGUCUGAUGGAGCAACGCCGCGUGUGUGAUGAAGGGUUUCGGCUCGUAAAACACUGUUGUAAGAGAAGAAUGACAUUGAGAGUAACUGUUCAAUGUGUGACGGUAUCUUACCAGAAAGGAACGGCUAAAUACGUG
rnacentral:rRNA from 1 species